UACGUAGGAUCCAAGCGUUAUCCGGAUUUAUUGGGUUUAAAGGGUGCGUAGGCGGAUUGAUAAGUUAGAGGUGAAAUGUCCGAGCUCAACUCGGGAACUGCCUCUAAUACUGUUGAUCUAGAGAGUAGAUGCGGUAGGCGGAAUGUAUGGUGUAGCGGUGAAAUGCUUAGAGAUCAUACAGAACACCGAUUGCGAAGGCAGCUUACCAAUCUAUAUCUGACGUUGAGGCACGAAAGCGUGGGGAGCAAACAGG
rnacentral:rRNA from 1 species